rnacentral:rRNA from 1 species
AUUGAACGCUGGCGGCAUGCUUUACACAUGCAAGUCGAACGGCAGCGCGGGCUUCGGCCUGGCGGCGAGUGGCGAACGGGUGAGUAAUGCAUCGGAACGUGCCCAGUAGUGGGGGAUAGACCGGCGAAAGCCGGAUUAAUACCGCAUACGACCUGAGGGUGAAAGCGGGGGACCGAAAGGCCUCGCGCUAUUGGAGCGGCCGAUGUCGGAUUAGCUAGUUGGUGGGGUAAAGGGUUACCAAGGCGACGAUCCGUAGCUGGUCUGAGAGGACGACCAGCCACACUGGGACUGAGACACGGCCCAGACUCCUACGGGAGGCAGCAGUGGGGAAUUUUGGACAAUGGGGGCAACCCUGAUCCAGCCAUGCCGCGUGCGGGAAGAAGGCCUUCGGGUUGUAAACCGCUUUUGUUCGGGAAGAAAUCCUCUGGGCUAAUACCCCGGGGGGAUGACGGUACCGGAAGAAUAAGCACCGGCUAACUACGUG